rnacentral:rRNA from 1 species
CCUACGGGGGGCAGCAGUGGGGAAUAUUGGACAAUGGGCGAAAGCCUGAUCCAGCCAUGCCGCGUGUGUGAAGAAGGCCUUCGGGUUGUAAAGCACUUUCAGUGGGGAAGAAAGCCUUGGGGCUAAUACCCUCGAGGAAGGACAUCACCCACAGAAGAAGCACCGGCUAACUCCGUGCCAGCAGCCGCGGUAAUACGGAGGGUGCGAGCGUUAAUCGGAAUUACUGGGCGUAAAGCGCGCGUAGGCGGUCUGAUAAGCCGGUUGUGAAAGCCCCGGGCUCAACCUGGGAACGGCAUCCGGAACUGUCAGGCUAGAGUGCAGGAGAGGAAGGUAGAAUCCCCGGUGUAGCGGUGAAAUGCGUAGAGAUCGGGAGGAAUACCAGUGGCGAAGGCGGCCUUCUGGACUGACACUGACGCUGAGGUGCGAAAGCGUGGGUAGCAAACAGGAUUAGAUACCCCAGUGUC